UACGAAGGGGGCGAGCGUUAUUCGGAAUCACUGGGCGUAAAGCGUGCGUAUGCGGUUUUGUAAGUUGGGAGUGAAAGCCCAGGGCUCAACCCUGGAAUUGCUCUCAAAACUACAAGACUUGAAUUCGGGAGAGGAUAGCGGAAUUGUCAGUGUAGCAGUGAAAUGCGUAGAUAUUGACAGGAACACCAGUGGCGUAAGCGGCUAUCUGGACCGACAUUGACGCUGAGGCACGAAAGCGUGGGGAUCAAACAGG
rnacentral:rRNA from 1 species